CAAGCUGCAGAAUAUGUCUUAGGAAAUAAUCGUAGUUAGCACUUUGAUUAAGUUAGAAAUGGGAGGUGAUCCCAUUAGCUUAAUCCUGGGGCAAUUGGGCCCCUGAAGAACUCAAAUUGGGUCGAAUGGUUCAGCCCAUUCGGACCCAGGUUGCUGUGGGAGGUGCAACCGCCUGAUCCCGGAAUUCCGGGAUUUGAUCGUUUUGAGCUCCAAAUUUGAACUGGGUUGGGGCCUAUAAAUACCCCACCCAUUCAGCA